GGAGCCGUGAGACAGGUGCUGCAUGGCUGUCGUCAGCUCGUGUCGUGAAAUGUUGGGUUAAGUCCCGCAACGAGCGCAACCCUUAUCCUUUGUUGCCAGCGGUCCGGCCGGGAACUCAAAGGAGACUGCCAGUGAUAAACUGGAGGAAGGUGGGAUGACGUCAAGUCAUCAUGGCCCUUACGACCAGGGCUACACACGUGCUACAAUGGCGCAUACAAAGAGAAGCGACCUCGCGAGAGCAAGCGGGCCUCAUAAAGUGCGUCGUAGUCCGGAUUGGAGUCUGCAACUCGACUCCAUGAAGUCGGAAUCGCUAGUAAUCGUGGAUCAGAAUGCCACGGUCGAAUACGUUCCCGGGCCUU
rnacentral:rRNA from 1 species